GUCUACUGCCAAACCACCCUGAACAUGCCCGAUCUUGUCUGAUCUUGGAAGCUAAGCAGGAUUGGGCCUGGUUAGUACUUGGAUGGGAGAUUAAUUAAAUAUAAGCUUGGAAGGGACU
rnacentral:rRNA from 1 species